AUGGCACCCAAGAGGCAGAUGGGGCCCAGCCUGAUGCUUCCUGGACCCACCCCAACCUUCCCCGGGCACAGUCCAGGGCUUCCUGCCCUUCGAACCGCACUUGUGAUCAGUAUUGACGGGGGUGGGAUAAUCAUUAACCACCACUACGGGCUGGGUCAACGGCUCAAAAGGCCCUGGGCCCAGGGCGUCCCCACUUCCUCCUUGUGCCCUGAGGGCCAGCUCAGCACCCAGAAACUUCAGAGUCUCCCAAAACGCCUGCUGAGUCUGCAGGACUGGCACCGGUCACAGGAACCUGUCUGCCUCAUCUUCCUGGAGUACAGCCCUGUGGUUGGUGGAGCAACUUCUCCAGCCCCUGGGAUUCCUAAGAAGACCCAAGAACUCCGCUGCUGGUAGAGGGGGAGCAGCCAACCCAGGACAGGACAGCUGACCCCACCCCUGCCCCACCUCCCACACCAACAACCUCAUUCCCACCUGCUGCUGGUUUUUUUUUUUCCUUUGAGACAGAGUCCUGCUCUGUUUCCCAGGCUGGAGUGCAAAGGCACGAUCUCGGCUCACUGCAAUCUCCACCUUCCGGGUUCAAGUGAUUCUCCUGCUUCAGCCUCCCAAAUAGCUGGGAUUACAGGCGUGGACCACCAUGCCCAGCUAAUUUUUAUAUUUUUAGUAGAGACGGGGUUUCACCAUGUUGGCCAGGCUGGUCUCGAACUCCAGACCUCAGAUGAUCUGCCCACCUCAGCCUCCCAGAGUGCUGGGAUUACAGGCAUGAGGCAUCACACCCAGCUCCACCUGUUUCUUAUACAAAGGGGUUCUGGAAAAAUUUUCUUUUUUUUUUUUUGAGACAGAGUCUUGGUCGUUCUGUCACCCAGGCUGGAGUGGCUGGAGUGCAGUGGUACAAUCACAGCUCACUGCAGCCUCUACCUCUUAGGGUUCACACAAUCCUCCCAUCUCGGCCUCCCAAGUAGGUGAAACUACAGACAUGUGCCACCAUGCUUGGUUAAUUUUUGUAUUUUUUGUAGAGAUGGGGUUUCACUAUGUUGCCCAGGCUGGUCUCAAAUUCCUAACCUCAAUCAGUCCUCCUGUCUCAGCCCCCUAAACUGCUGGGAUUACUGACGUGAGCCACUGUGCCUUGUCAGAAUUUUUCAUUUGAAUAAAAAGGUUUCUAGUACUAAAAAAUAAGAUGUGUGAAAUGGGAAACAGACCUAGGAAUAAAUUUCAAAUUGCUUAAUAACAGGCAUUGGCCGAUGAGCCCUUUCUGUGUGCCAGGCAAGCACAUCCAGGGCCUAGUUCUGGCACCCAUCAUGAACCUGUUUGGGAGGGGAGGACCAGGCUCAGAGAGGGUGCCAAUUUGUUGAAGUCACAGAGCAAGUUGGACCUUCUCCUUCUGGGGACCUUAUGCAACCAACAUCUGGCCCCUAAGACACUGUCUCGUCCCUUCCCACGGGCAGCUCUGCACCCCCCCACCCUCCACCAUUCAGCUGCUCUGAAUCCCUGGGCUCCCAUCAGCCCCUGCUGUGGCCCAGUUCAGCAACCCCUCCCUGCAGCCGUCCAUGACUCUGCAGGCUGCUCCCCUCUCUGCCCACACUGGCUUUGCGGGCCUCUCUUGCCACCCUUAUCUCAUUCCCUGCAGAGUUAAGGAGCCCGGUGUGCUUAUCUAAUCCUGUGCUGGUCUUAGACUCCUUGAGGGCAAGGUCCACCAUUUACUCAUCCUCCCUGGCCUGCUUCCCCCACUCGCCAGCAGAGUAGGUGUUCGGGAUACAUGGGCUGGAUGGUGGGGCCCUGGACUCUAACCCCCUUGGGGCUGUCAGGCCUCAGACCCAGAGCACUGGCUUAGGGUGAAAGGGGUUUGCAGGCAGCAGCCACCCUGUCCUGGGGUCCUCCUGCAGCUGUCUCUGCAGAGCACUGUGAUCCCACAAAGGCCUGUGAGGGCUACUGGAGACCAUGUUCCAACGCAGGAGCGGGACAGACCCAGCACCCUUCACCUGGCUCCUGGACCCCACUGCCUUGUGUCCUUUUCCCAGCAGGCCCUGGGCCCAUGCACAUUCCCCUAGCCUGAGUCUCACCUCCAGCCCCUCUCAGAACUCCUCAAGACCUGCCCAAGGGUCACUCCAUCCAGGACACCUGCCUGGGCACCCCCGCAUUACCUCACUCACUGGCUCCCAGAUGCUCUGUGGCUGCGAUGUUAGUGCCUCCAUCAUGUCCCAUCACCUACAUCGAGUUAUUUCCCCCAUCAGCCUGAGAGCCCCCAGGAGUGGCUGCCACUGACUUGUUUCCUGAAGCCUCAGAGACUCCAAGGAGGGGCUUAAUAAAUGCAUGCAGAAGGACUGGCCACAUGCCUGAGCCAAGUUGCUUAGGAAGGGAGCGUAGACACAGUGGGGCGUCAGCACAGAGCCGGCCGCGGGAGGCCUCAGUAGCAUCGUCUUCGUUCCACUGUCCACAUCACGCGCGCGUGUGAAUCGCGACGCUGACAGAGGCCCGGAGAGGUUGUGCAGAUUGACUGAAAGCCAACCUCAGAGAGAGAGGGCCCGGGGGGGAGGAGGAAAGCCUCCCCGGGAGAGGCGGGUGUGAGGUCGGCGUUUGCUGGGGUGAAGCCGAGAAACCGGACGUGAGCCCUGGAAAAGGAAGGAAUGCCAGAGGCAAAGAU
ensembl:lncRNA